GCGAUUCCCUUAGUAGUGGCGAACGAAAAGGGAAGAGCCCAUCGCAUAAUCUCCUGGGCUACCAAGCCUACGGCGAAAUGUUGCGUUAAGGGAAAGGUCGCUUCUAUUCCACGCACGCUCGUGCAUAUGCCUAAGCGCGAUUUGAAAUGUUCGCGCUUGUUCGGCAUUUGCGUAAGCAAUUUGUCGACGUACGGUUCCAUGGAGGGUGCAAGACCCGUAUGGCCUACGUUGCGUCGCGUUGGUAUGACCUCAUUCCCUAAGAGUCGCGUUGCUUGAACGUGCAGCGCUAAGCAGGUGGUAAACUCCACCUAAGGCUAAAUAUAUCCACAGAACCGAUAGCUAACAAGUACCGCGAGGGAAAGUUGAAAAGUACUCUGAAGAGAGGGUGCAAAGACCGUGAAACCGCUCAGGGUAAAAGCCAAAUGUCGAGUUAUCCUAGAUGCUGGGGCAUCGUUGUCUUCGGAUAACGAUAGUGGCUGUCUGCGUGCGCAUUAGAAGUUGUGAUGUUUAAUAUCGUUUAUGUGGUGAUUUAAGGUUACCACACUACGUUUUAUUCAGAGCCUCUCUAGUGCUUCGAACGCGUUGAGUACACCACCUUCAGGCCCGCUAACAGCCCACCGCAACUGCUGUCGAGGUCACUCGCGGUUAGAUGGAUAUUUGUCCGUGUCUUUCUCAUUAGCGUCUUAAUAUCGUCGAGUCACGCGUGGCGGGAGUGCCCGGAGUAGUUGUGAAUUUAUUUACGACGAAAAGGAGUCCUCGUGCGCGAGCGCACAGCUAAUGACAUCAAGGUUUUUUGACGUGAGUUUGACAUUAAGCGGGCAUUUAUCGUACUGCCAUUGCGAUUUUGUACGAUCCUCAACAGCGUUGUUCGCUGACACUAUUCAGUACGGUGGUAUAUGCUAGGUGACAUUGGUCACGUCUCGAAACACGGGCCAAGGAGCGUAGCGUGUGCGCAAGUCGGUGAAAUUUUCGAAAUUCUACGGCGACAGUGAAAGCGAGUGGUACGUAUUCAUACGUGGAAACGUAGCCGGAUUAGGACGGUAGUUCUUUUUAAGUCUAUACGUCUUGUCCGCAUUGUCAGGGCUGAUCCCGGUCGAAAGACUGGGCGCAAGCCCCGGGCUCGCUCAUAGUUCGCGGCGUAAGUCGUGACAGAGAGAGCACCGAGUAGCGCACACGGUACAACCCGAAAGAUAGUGAACUAUGCCUGGCGAGGACGAAGCCCCAGGAAACUGUGGUGGAAGUCCGUAGCCGUUGUGACGUGCAAAUCCAUGGUAUCAGCUGGGCAUAGGGGCGAAAGACCAAUCGAACUAUCUAGUAGCUGGUUCCGUCCGAAGUUUCUCUCAGGAUAGCUUGCGUGAAUAUGGCGCGUUUGUCUGAAUCUCAAAGCUUGCGACAUAAUCGCACUCGAGAUCGUACUGGCGUUGUUCGAGCUGAGGGCACCUAUGUGCGCCACGCUUCCGAUGCUUUUCUCAGAUUCCUCCGUAUGUCAGUUACGUCUGGUAAAGAGAAUGAGUAGAGGUUGCAUGCCGCGCGCCCUAAUGCGCGGCAGCGGCGGGGCGUUCUACGCCUCGCACUAUUAUCAAACUUUAAAUGGGCGAGAAACUUGGCAUUCCUUAACUGGAUUCAUGAUGCCGAGUGAAACGAGUGCGCGUCGCAUUUUUGCGGCGAGACUAGAAUGUGUCCGCGUUAAGUGGGUCCGUUCUGGUAAGCAGAACUGAUAAUGAGGGAUGAACCUAACGCUGUGUUAAGGGGCCAAAAAGACAGCUAUUUCUCGAAACCAUUGGAAAGGCGUUGCUUGCUGAAGACAGCAGGACGGUGGUCAUGGAAGUUGACAUCCGCUAAGGAGUGUGUAACAACUCAUCCUGCCGAAGCGAGUAACCCUGAAAAUGGAUGGCUCUCAAGCUCUCUCCCGAUGCACAGCCGUCAGAGGCAACAAGGCAGUUUUGUCUCAAAGCCCUGACGUGUAGGACGGAGUACCGGUAUGCGUCGAAGGUCUUAGCGUAAGCUGGGCUGGAGCUGCUGGUAAUUCAGAUCUUGGUGGUAGUAGCAAGUACUCUGGUUGAUAACCUUGAGCUAUGAGGUUGAUAAGGGUUCCAUGUCAACAGCGUUUGUACAUGGGUAAGCCGAUCCUAAGCCCACCUAUACCUUGGUAUAGAGUGCGUGCGCGACUUGCAGUUGACCAUGUCGGUAGCUUCGUAUGGACUCUGUGUCCUUCGAAGUGACUGAGUUUCGUUAUACUCUUUGUUCUAGUUUACGGAGGCUCCUACUCGAACGUAACGCUAUCUCUGAAAGAGUUGUUGCUUUGGGGAACGCUUUAGUGCGAGCUUUAUUCGUGUCAUGCAUGACUACAGCCACUGAUGUUCUAUUACCUGUUGCAAUUCAACUUAUGCCCUAACACCGCAGUGAGAGAUAGUAUUCGUUUUGAGUCCCUCUACUGAAAGAGCAUCUCUGUAGAUAGAAGAGUACUCGAAUUGGUAUGUGCUUGUCGUUUUGCCUGGCGAAAGGGAACUGUGGACUUAGUUCAUGGGCCUCUCUUGGUACCUUGUUGCGUCACCGUAGCACGAACUUAGCAAUAGCCUUUUGCUGAGCCUGCCGCAGUCUCGAGUCGCGCGAUGGGGAGAUGUCUCCUCUCAUUAAUCGAACCCCUAGAACCUGUUAAACGCCUUACGAGGAGUUAGGCUCUAUGUUCGUGAGAAGAGUAAUUUCUCUCCCCGAUCAUAUCGAUGUUUCUCGAGAUCCGUGAAAAGGUGGCCGAGGGGACUUUCUCAAAUGAAUUUCUACCGAGUUCAUAGAGUUUGCCAAGAGUGUACGUACCCGAGUCCGCAUCCGUCUCAAA
rnacentral:rRNA from 1 species